rnacentral:rRNA from 1 species
AGUGAACGCUGGCGGUAGGCCUAACACAUGCAAGUCGAACGGCAGCACAGAGGAGCUUGCUCCUUGGGUGGCGAGUGGCGGACGGGUGAGGAAUACAUCGGAAUCUACUCUGUCGUGGGGGAUAACGUAGGGAAACUUACGCUAAUACCGCAUACGACCUACGGGUGAAAGCAGGGGAUCUUCGGACCUUGCGCGAUUGAAUGAGCCGAUGUCGGAUUAGCUAGUUGGCGGGGUAAAGGCCCACCGAGGCGACGAUCCGUAGCUGGUCCGAGACGAUGAUCAGCCACACUGGAACCGAGACACGGUCCAGACUCCUACGGGAGGCAGCAGUGGGGAAUAUUGGACAAUGGGCGCAAGCCUGAUCCAGCCAUACCGCGCGGGUGAAGAAGGCCUUCGGGUUGUAAAGCCCUUUUGUUGGGAAAGAAAUCCAUCUGGUUAAUACCCGGGUGGGAUGACGGUACCCAAAGAAUAAGCACCGGCUAACUUCGUGCCAGCAGCCGCCGUAA